CAGGUAUACAACACAGGCACUGGUCUGGAGGAACAUAGACCAAAGGGUUUAAGCUGGCUGUAUACAGGGGGCUGCAAAGUCUGGUGUUUGGAACUUGAUGAGGCCCUUGUGAAGCUCAAGUCACCUCAAGGUCCAAGAAGGCUUUCUCAAUCCCAUGAUGUCAGGACCCA